ensembl:snRNA LOC120095470 U1 spliceosomal RNA
AUAGUCAUCCGACAGGGUAGAUACCAUAAAGGUGGUUUCCCAGGCGAAGACUUAGCACUCAGAUGUGCUGACCCCUGCAAUUUCCCCAAAUUUAGAAAAUUCAACUGUAUACUUUGUGGUAGUGGGAACUUGUUACCCACUGUCCCCU